AAACUAACAAGGAUUCCCUGAGUAACGGCGAGCGAAAAGGGAAUAGCCCAGCGCCGAAUCUCUUGUCCUCCGGGCAAGAAGACAUGUGGCGUUUGGGACGAGGCUUUGCCUGUGCAGAAUGGUCAUCCAAGUCCCUCUUGAACGGGGCCAUAGCCCAUGGAGGGUGCUAGGCCCGUAUGAUGACUUUAUUGUGCAGUGCGUCUCGUCCGUAGAGUCGGGUUGCUUGGGAGUGCAGCCCAAAUCAGGUGGUAAACUCCAUCUAAGGCUAAAUAUGACCACGAGACCGAUAGCGAACAAGUACCGUGAGGGAAAGUUGAAAAGAACUUUGAAGAGAGAGUUAAAAAGUACGUGAAACCUCUCGGGGGUAAGCGGGCAGAACUUGCAAGUAUUGGCUGGGAACAUUCAGGCUUAGUGUUGGUGGCUUGUGAUGCACGUUUUGUUGCUCUUUCGGGAGUUGACUGCCGUGUGUUGCUUGUUCUACUGACGAUGCGCCGCAUUUGUUCCUGUCAUCGGGUUGCAUGCGACUUGAUGGUAGUUUAGGUGCUGGGUGUUUGCAAAUCCUUGUGGUUUGAGCCCUGGUCUCCAACUGCUGUUGUGGUCGUUGAAAUUACGAGUAGGCGCUUGUCGCGGUCAAAAGAUUUCGCGAGUUGGGUGCUUAUGAUAUGUGGACGGGUAACCGUAGCAUGUUGUCUGUACCUGCUGUCAGUGAGAUUUUGUAUUUGGCACUGCUCUGAUUGCAAUCUAAAGCAUGCG
rnacentral:rRNA from 1 species